CUUCAGAGUUUCUUCCUAUGAGCUUGUCUUUGGUACUGUCUCCUCGGCUAGAUUUCAUAAAGGACUGGGUGACUAAUGCAUUGGUAUAAAAACAAAACGAUGUACAAAUCACAUUUGAGGAAUUGAGUGAUUUUGACAAGACUGAAGGGUCGUGAGAAGGGAAACCUAUUUCACCUGAGGGAAGGAGUGAGUGGGAGUUGAACUUGUAAAGGGGUCCUGAACGGUUUAAAAUGUCAAAAUGUUUUCUUGUCCCCAUCGAAUGUGUAGAGUCAGUGGUAAGACAUUUACAGACAGCAGACAAUAACUCUGUGACUAUGUAGCGAUGCAUCUCCUUUCCACCCACCUACACGGAAUAAAGGACGGCCCAUGUUAGGAAUACAGAGCAAUCCUCACACAAUAAAUCAAGACAUGUUUUUACUUGAUAGCCUGCCAGAGGGCCCUCAGAUUAAUGUCAGGAAAAUGAUAGACCAUAAAACAAUUCAGAAAGUUGCAUAAGGUUUUCUCUUGUAACUCAUUUAAACACACAAUAUUUUCAGAGCGGGAUUUACUAUCCUGUCCUACUGUCUUUCAGAGAGAUUUACUAUCCUGUCCUACUGUCUUUCAGAGCGGGAUUUACUAUCCUGUCCUACUGUCUUUCAGAGCGGGAUUUACCAUCCUGUCCUACUGUCUUUCAGAGCGAUUUACUAUCCUGUCCUACUGUCUUUCAGAGCGGGAAUUACUAUCCUGUCCUACUGUCUUUCAGAGCGGGAUUUACUAUACUGUCCUACUGUCUUCCAGCGCGGGAUUUACUAUCCUCUCCUACUGUCUUUCAGAGAGAUUUGCUAUCCUGUCCUACUGUCUUUCAUAGAGAUUUACUAUCCUGUCCUACUGUCUUUCAGAGAGAUUUACUAUCCUGUCCUACUGUCUUUCAGAGUGGGAUUUACUAUCCUGUCCUACUGUCUUCCAGAGCGGGAUUUACUAUCCUGUCCUACUGUCUUUCAGAGCGGGAUUUACUAUCCUGUCCUACUGUCUUCCAGAGUGGGAUUUACUAUCCUGUCCUACUGUCUUUCAGAGAGAUUUACUAUCCUGUCCUACUGUCUUUCAGAGAGAUUUACUAUCCUGUCCUACUGUCUUCCAGAGAGAUAU
rnacentral:lncRNA from 13 species